rnacentral:misc_RNA from 1 species
GAUGAAGAACGUAGCGAAAUGCGAUAAGUAAUGCGAAUUGCAGAAUUUCCGUGAGUCAUCGAAUCUUUGAACGCACAUUGCGCCCCCUGGUAUUCCGGGGGGCAUGCCUGUCCGAGCGUCAUUACAACCCUCAAGCUCAGCUUGGUGUUGGGCCCCGCCGCCCCGGCGGGCCCUAAAGUCAGUGGCGGUGCCGUCCGGCUCCGAGCGUAGUAAUUCUUCUCGCUCUGGAGGUCCGGUCGUGUGCUCGCCAGCAACCCCCAAUUUUUUGCAGGUUGACCUCGGAUCAGGUAGGGAUACCCGCUGAACUUAAGCAUAUCAAUAAGCGGAGGA